rnacentral:rRNA from 1 species
ACCUGGAGAUAGCUGGUUCUCUCCGAAAUAGCUUUAGGGCUAGCCUCAAGUGAUGAUUAUUGGAGGUAGAGCACUGUUUGGACGAGGGGCCCCUCUCGGGUUACCGAAUUCAGACAAACUCCGAAUGCCAAUUAAUUUAACUUGGGAGUCAGAACAUGGGUGAUAAGGUCCGUGUUCGAAAGGGAAACAGCCCAGACCACCAGCUAAGGUCCCAAAAUAUAUGUUAAGUGGAAAAGGAUGUGGCGUUGCCCAGACAACUAGGAUGUUGGCUUAGAAGCAGCCAUCAUUUAAAGAGUGCGUAAUAGCUCACUAGUCGAGUGACACUGCGCCGAAAAUGUACCGGGGCUAAACAUAUUACCGAAGCUGUGGAUUGUCCUUUGGACAAUGGUAGGAGAGCGUUCUAAGGGCGUUGAAGCAUGAUCGUAAGGACAUGUGGAGCGCUUAGAAGUGAGAAUGCCGGUGUGAGUAGCGAAAGACGGGUGAGAAUCCCGUCCACCGAUUGACUAAGGUUUCCAGAGGAAGGCUCGUCCGCUCUGGGUUAGUCGGGUCCUAAGCUGAGGCCGACAGGCGUAGGCGAUGGAUAACAGGUUGAUAUUCCUGUACCACCUAUAAUCGUUUUAAUCGAUGGGGGGACGCAGUAGGAUAGGCGAAGCGUGCGAUUGGAUUGCACGUCUAAGCAGUAAGGCUGAGUAUUAGGCAAAUCCGGUACUCGUUAAGGCUGAGCUGUGAUGGGGAGAAGACAUUGUGUCUUCGAGUCGUUGAUUUCACACUGCCGAGAAAAGCCUCUAGAUAGAAAAUAGGUGCCCGUACCGCAAACCGACACAGGUAGUCAAGAUGAGAAUUCUAAGGUGAGCGAGCGAACUCUCGUUAAGGAACUCGGCAAAAUGACCCCGUAACUUCGGGAGAAGGGGUGCUCUUUAGGGUUAACGCCCAGAAGAGCCGCAGUGAAUAGGCCCAAGCGACUGUUUAUCAAAAACACAGGUCUCUGCUAAACCGUAAGGUGAUGUAUAGGGGCUGACGCCUGCCCGGUGCUGGAAGGUUAAGAGGAGUGGUUAGCUUCUGCGAAGCUACGAAUCGAAGCCCCAGUAAACGGCGGCCGUAACUAUAACGGUCCUAAGGUAGCGAAAUUCCUUGUCGGGUAAGUUCCGACCCGCACGAAAGGCGUAACGAUUUGGGCACUGUCUCAACGAGAGACUCGGUGAAAUCAUAGUACCUGUGAAGAUGCAGGUUACCCGCGACAGGACGGAAAGACCCCGUGGAGCUUUACUGUAGCCUGAUAUUGAAAUUCGGCACAGCUUGUACAGGAUAGGUAGGAGCCUUUGAAACGUGAGCGCUAGCUUACGUGGAGGCGCUGGUGGGAUACUACCCUAGCUGUGUUGGCUUUCUAACCCGCACCACUUAUCGUGGUGGGAGACAGUGUCAGGCGGGCAGUUUGACUGGGGCGGUCGCCUCCUAAAAGGUAACGGAGGCGCUCAAAGGUUCCCUCAGAAUGGUUGGAAAUCAUUCAUAGAGUGUAAAGGCAUAAGGGAGCUUGACUGCGAGACCUACAAGUCGAGCAGGGUCGAAAGACGGACUUAGUGAUCCGGUGGUUCCGCAUGGAAGGGCCAUCGCUCAACGGAUAAAAGCUACCCCGGGGAUAACAGGCUUAUCUCCCCCAAGAGUUCACAUCGACGGGGAGGUUUGGCACCUCGAUGUCGGCUCAUCGCAUCCUGGGGCUGUAGUCGGUCCCAAGGGUUGGGCUGUUCGCCCAUUAAAGCGGUACGCGAGCUGGGUUCAGAACGUCGUGAGACAGUUCGGUCCCUAUCCGUCGUGGGCGUAGGAAAUUUGAGAGGAGCUGUCCUUAGUACGAGAGGACCGGGAUGGACAUACCUCUGGUGUACCAGUUGUCGUGCCAACGGCAUAGCUGGGUAGCUAUGUGUGGACGGGAUAAGUGCUGAAAGCAUCUAAGCAUGAAGCCCCCCUCAAGAUGAGAUUUCCCAACUUCGGUUAUAAGAUCCCUCAAAGAUGAUGAGGUUAAUAGGUUCGAGGUGGAAGCAUGGUGACAUGUGGAGCUGACGAAUACUAAUCGAUCGAAGACUUAAUCAA